GCAGGUGAAUGCAACGUCAAGCGAUGGGCGUUGUGCUCCAAUUUGUCCUUCUUCCUUUUUUGAAUUGAUGCAUAGCAAAUUUGAUUCCUACGACACCGGCUUUUAGCCGGUUUUU
rnacentral:sRNA from 1 species